rnacentral:sRNA from 1 species
UAUUCUGCCCUACAGGGAAGGAUGAGAAGCUUCGAUUAAGGUUCGACUCGAGCGAAGCGAGAGAACGUUGCCGCAGGCAACGGCCCGAAGGGCGAGGCGC